UACGUAGGUGGCGAACGUUAUCCGGAAUCAUUGGGCGUAAAGGGUGCGCAGAUGGCAUGAUAAGUUAUCAGUGGUAAAUCGGGGCUCAACCUCGUGGAAGCUGGUAAUACUGUCAUACUUGAGUGCAGGAGAGGUUAACGGAACUCCAUGUGGAGCGGUAAAAUGCUUAGAUAUAUGGAUGAACACCAAUAACGGCGAAGGCAGUUAACUAUUCUGUUACUGACAUUGAGGCACGAAAGCGUGGGGAGCAAAAAGG
rnacentral:rRNA from 1 species